AGAUUGAACGCUGGCGGCACGCCUUACACAUGCAAGUCGAACGGCAGCACGGGAGCAAUCCUGGUGGCGAGUGGCGAACGGGUGAGUAAUAUAUCGGAACGUGCCCAGUCGUGGGGGAUAACGCAGCGAAAGCUGUGCUAAUACCGCAUACGAUCUAUGGAUGAAAGCGGGGGAUCGCAAGACCUCGCGCGAUUGGAGCGGCCGAUAUCAGAUUAGCUAGUUGGUGGGGUAAAAGCCUACCAAGGCGACGAUCUGUAGCUGGUCUGAGAGGACGACCAGCCACACUGGAACUGAGACACGGUCCAGACUCCUACGGGAGCAGCAGUGGGGAAUUUUGGACAAUGGGCGCAAGCCUGAUCCAGCAAUGCCGCGUAACAGGAUGAAGGCCUUGGUUGUAAACUGUCUUUGUACGGUAACGAAACGGUUACUACGUCUAAUAACAGGGACGUAAUAGUAACGGUAACCGGUAAAGUAAA
rnacentral:rRNA from 1 species